rnacentral:rRNA from 1 species
UAAUACGAAGGGGGCUAGCGUUGCUCGGAAUUACUGGGCGUAAAGGGCGCGUAGGCGGACAUUUAAGUCAGGGGUGAAAUCCCAGAGCUCAACUCUGGAACUGCCUUUGAUACUGGAUGUCUUGAGUGUGAGAGAGGUAUGUGGAACUCCGAGUGUAGAGGUGAAAUUCGUAGAUAUUCGGAAGAACACCAGUGGCGAAGGCGACAUACUGGCUCAUUACUGACGCUGAGGCGCGAAAGCGUGGGGAGCAAACAGG